GUAAGGCUUUCUAGCUACCUAAAUGAAUCCAAACACAUUCUUACACAAUUAGGAUCUGAAUAGUGCCUUUCUUGCCAACUUAGACUUGUUCUCACAUGUAGUUGUCAUUGGCAAUGCUAUACCACACAACACUGACAUCCUUUUUCAAGUUUCAAGCUUGAAGCAAAAAGUUCUUGAGAAAAUCUUCAAACAAGAAAAAUAGAAAGUGAAAGUAAUCCAUGACUAUAGGGUCAAUAGAGCAACAAAUUCCACCACAAGUGGAAGAAUCAAGAGUUUCUAAGCAAGAAGGAGAAGAUGCAAAGAUAAUAAGAAUGGAUAUAGCACAAGAAGGGAUUGAAGAGUGCAAAACACCAACUUGUUCAAGCAACAAGAUUCCCAUGAUUCAAAAAUGCCCACUUGCCCCAAGAAAGAAAAGAAGUAGGUCAAUCCCACAAUUUUCUUCAUGCAUGAAAAGAUCAUCGUCAAGUGAUUUGAACCAUGUAAUAAGGCAUGAUGAGGUAGAGUCUUUCUUCCAAUCCAUGUUCGAGCUUACUAGGGUUAACAAGAGACAUAAAAGUAUAUGAAAGUUCUUUGCAAAUGAAUAUGGAUGAAUAUAUAUCCUCACAUGAAUCAUAAUCACCUCCAACUUUAUUGGAGUUUUAGCACUUUUCUUUGUUUAUCUUCCCUUUUAAGAUAACUUCUAUGGGGGAAAGAAUGAAAAAAGAAUAUGUAUGUCAAUAAAUUUGCAAUUCAGUCAAUCAAACAUGUUUCUUUUUUUGUUGA